CCUACGGGAGGCAGCAGUGGGGAAUAUUGGGCAAUGGAGGAAACUCUGACCCAGCGACGCCGCGUGCGGGAUGAAGGCCUUCGGGUUGUAAACCGCUUUCAGCAGGGAAGAAGCGAAAGUGACGGUACCUGCAGAAGAAGCACCGGCUAACUAUGUGCCAGCAGCCGCGGUAAUACAUAGGGUGCAAGCGUUGUCCGGAAUUAUUGGGCGUAAAGAGCUCGUAGGUGGUUCGUCACGUCGGAUGUGAAAAUCUGGGGCUUAACCCCAGACCUGCAUUCGAUACGGGCGAGCUUGAGUAUGGUAGGGGAGUCUGGAAUUCCUGGUGUAGCGGUGGAAUGCGCAGAUAUCAGGAGGAACACCAAUGGCGAAGGCAGGACUCUGGGCCAUUACUGACACUGAGGAGCGAAAGCGUGGGGAGCGAACAGGAUUAGAUACCCUGGUAGUCCACGCCGUAAACGGUGGGCACUAGUUGUGGGGACCUUCCACGGUCUCUGCGACGCAGCUAACGCAUUAAGUGCCCCGCCUGGGGAGUACGAUCGCAAGNUUAAAACUUAAAGGAAUUGACGG
rnacentral:rRNA from 1 species